UCCGCCCCAUCAACGGCCUACCGCGUGAUUCCCUCUCCGGGAGAAGGAAGUCACGUGCAUAAGGAGAGCUGGAUAACCCCAGUAUCUCUUGGGAGUUGUAGUUUGGCCGCUAUCCUUUCCUCAACUUCUAAACCAGGGCCCUACACCCGCGUGUGAGGCAGAUAGCCCUCUGUUAUUGGAUUGAAUGCAAUCCAAUCCACCCCCCAAUCGAAGAUCCCAUUCCUUACUGGGCAGAGCUCACGUCGAAUAUGGUUAUGGCUUCGGUGAAGGGCGGCUGAAAUGUUACUCUAAUGGCUGGGUUUGGGGAAGGUGUCAGGGCUCCGGAGGGGUAUUACGUGAACGCCACUCACACUCUUAUCCCGCCACCCCAACCCUAAUGGCGGAGCCUGGGGUGAGGCCCGCUGAGCUUCCAGCUCGGUUGGGGCGGAGUCCGAGGAGACCUGCGCGGCGCGAGGAGUCCGGAGUCUCUGCUCCUCAACGAUGCAGAUCCACCCCUUCGGGGCGGGGCCCGCUCCCGGCAGCGGCGCCUUUGUCCGCGUCGGCUAGCGGGCAACUACUCCCUGGCGGACAGCCAGCGCGUUAGAGGACUCGGCAGAGCCCCAUGGGCAAAGUCUGCCCGUUGCUGUAAGCCGACUGAACCAGAAAGCCCGUCGUGAACUUGCACCACUCACGGGCUCGGAGACCUCAGCAUCCCGGUGCACAUCCGUGAAAGGAGGGCCCGAUACCCAAAAUGAGUGGUUUGUUAGUGGAGAGGAAGUGACACUGUCUGAAGAACUGUUUUUCGCUCUCGGUUCCUCCCCAGCGAGAAUGUCUUCCCUUGAGACCCAAGACGCCUCCUCCUGGGCCUGGGGUGGAAGCUGUGCCAGGGGACGCUGAGCCUGGAUUGUUUACCUAGGACUCCAAGAGGCAGGGUGGACUGGGAGCUCGAGAAUUGGGAGAAGGAGCGGCGACCUACUUCCCUAGCUCUAGGCCCCAAAGGGCACAGUAUCAAUAGAAGCAUGUUGCGUAGGAACUCAGGGCACUAGGUCUCGGCCUUGGGUGCAGGUGCAAAGGCCCAGGAGCUCUCCCACAAAAAGGAGAAGAGGGCAAAGUGGAGUGCUUUGCAGAAAGGUUUCAAUAUAUGGACCGAUACCUGAGCCCUAGGGAAGGCCUAACUAGGCCUCAAGUCAGGAGGACAGGUUAUUUACCAUCUGGAUUGAGAAAAUGGAUCUUUACCUAGCCCCUCUGCCCUCCAAACAAGGGACCCAGCUAGCCAGGCCACAGAGAGUGCAAGAGGGAGACCCUGGACCUAUCAGCCCUACCACCGGGAAGGGACCACAGAAGCUGGACAUGGUUUGAACAAUUCACCAAAGCAUCCA